AUGCAGUUGGAGAUGGAUGCGGUCGAGCAAAACAGCACUUGGGAGCUCGCUGACCUCCCUCGUGGUCACCACGCAAUCACCCUUAAGUGGGUGUUCAAGCUGAAGAGGGAUGGAGCCGGCGCCAUCAUCAAGCACAAGGCUCGCCUGGUGGCCCGAGGCUUCUUGCAGCAGGAAGGAGUCGACUUCGACGACGCCUUCGCCCCCGUGGCACGGAUGGAGUCCGUGCGACUUCUCCUUGCGCUGGCUGCCCAGGAGGGCUGGCAUGUCCAUCACAUGGAUGUCAAGUCGGCAUUCCUCAACGGUGACUUGAAGGAGGAAGUCUACGUGCAUCAGCCACCGGGUUUUGCGAUUCCCGGCCAGGAGGGUAAGGUGCUCCACCUGCGCAAGGCCCUCUAUGGCCUACGGCAGGCACCUAGGGCGUGGAACGCCAAGCUGGACUCCACGCUAAAGAAGAUGGGCUUCGAGCAAAGCCCGCAUGAGGCUGCCGUCUACCGACGGGGCAGUGGAGGAAAUGCCUUGCUGGUGGGCGUCUAUGUUGACGACUUGGUGAUCACCGGCACCAAAGAUGCAGAAGUGGCGGCGUUCAAGGAAGACAUGAAGGCGACCUUCCACAUGAGUGAUCUGGGGCUCCUCUCCUUCUAUCUAGGGAUUGAGGUGCACCAGGACCACUCCGGGAUCGCGCUUCGACAGUCCUCCUACGCCAAGCGCAUCGUUGAGCUAGCUGGGCUCACCGACUGCCAUCCAGCUCUCACUCCAAUGGAGGAGAGGCUGAAACUGAGCCGUGACAGCACGACGAAGGAAGUGGAUGCUACGCAGUACCGACGCCUUGUGGGGAGCCUUCGCUACCUCACCCACACACAGCCGGACUUGGCAUUCUCCGUCGGCUAUGUCAGUCGGUUCAUGGAGCGACCGACCUGGCAAUCAGUCAAGCAGCAGGUGGUGGCCCUGUCCAGCUGUGAGGCUGAGUACAUCGCGGCCUCCACCGCCUGCACUCAGGCGCUCUGGCUCGCUUGA
rnacentral:rRNA from 1 species